AACGAACGCUGGCGGCAGGCUUAACACAUGCAAGUCGAACGCCCCGCAAGGGGAGUGGCAGACGGGUGAGUAACGCGUGGGAAUCUACCAGAUCUACGGAACAACAGUUGGAAACGACUGCUAAUACCGUAUACGCCCUACGGGGGAAAGAUGUUAUCGGAUUUGGAUGAGCCCGCGUUGGAUUAGCUAGUUGGUGGGGUAAUGGCCUACCAAGGCGACGAUCCAUAGCUGGUCUGAGAGGAUGAUCAGCCACACUGGGACUGAGACACGGCCCAGACUCCUACGGGAGGCAGCAGUGGGGAAUAUUGGACAAUGGGCGCAAGCCUGAUCCAGCCAUGCCGCGUGAGUGAUGAAGGCCUUAGGGUUGUAAAGCUCUUUCACCGAUGAAGAUAAUGACGGUAGUCGGAGAAGAAGCCCCGGCUAACUUCGUGCCAGCCGCCGCGGUAACAC
rnacentral:rRNA from 1 species